rnacentral:rRNA from 1 species
CCUACGGGAGGCAGCAGUGGGGGAUAUUGCACAAUGGGGGAAACCCUGAUGCAGCGAUGCCGCGUGAAUGAAGACGGCCUUCGGGUUGUAAAGCUCUGUCGCAGGGGACGAUAAUGACGGUACCUUGCAAGAAAGCCCCGGCUAACUACGUGCCAGCAGCCGCGGUAAUACGUAGGGAGCAAGCGUUGUCCGGAAUUACUGGGUGUAAAGGGAGCGUAGGCGGGAGGGAAAGUCUGAUGUGAAAUCCAUGGGCUCAACCGCGUGGCUGCUUUGAAACUGGUUUUUCUGGAGUGAAGUAGAGGCAGGCGGAAUUCCUAGUGUAGCGGUGAAAUGCGUAGAUAUUAGGAGGAACACCAGUGGCGAAGGCGGCCUACUGGGCUUUUACUGACGCUGAGGCUCGAAAGCGUGGGUAGCAAACAGGAUUAGAUACCCUGGUAGUC